UGCAAAUAUCAUUGCCGUUCGAGGCACUC
rnacentral:sRNA from 1 species